UAUGUGAUCGUCUCUCGCAUAUCAAUAAGCGGAGGAAAAGAAACUAACAAGGAUUCCCCUAGUAACGGCGAGUGAAGCGGGAAGAGCUCAAAUUUGAAAUCUUAAAGGGUUUCCCUUUACGAAUUGUAGUUUAAAGAAGUGUUUUCUGUUGAGGUUUUGGUAAAAGUUCUUUGGAAUAGGACAUCAUAGAGGGUGAGAAUCCCGUAUUUGACCUUUACUUUCAACUUUGUGAUACACUUUCAAAGAGUCGGAUUGUUUGGGAAUGCAGUCCAAAAUGGGUGGUAAAUUUCAUCUAAAGCUAAAUAUUGGCGAGAGACCGAUAGCGAACAAGUACCGUGAGGGAAAGAUGAAAAGAACUUUGAAAAGAGAGUUAAACAGUACGUGAAAUUGUCAAAAGGGAAGCGUUUGACACCAGCGUUGUUUUUCUGAAAAUCAAUUAAAGAACUGUUUAUGCUAAGUUGUUUAGACUUUAUCAGCUAACUGUUUAGUUUUGAGCUUUUCUUUAAUGCACUUUUCAGUUAACAAGUCAACAUCAAUUUCUUUUGCUGUAAAAAAGCUUGAGGAAGGUGGCUUGAGAUUCGUCUUAAGUGUUUAUAGCCUCUUGCCUAUGCAGUCGGAGAGAUUGAGGUCUGCAGCGUAGAUCCUUCGGGGCUAAAUGCAUUUGUGCUAAGUUAUAGCAUUUUAUAGACAACUUGUUGACUAUGAUUUGUCUUGUAGCUUACUCGCUUAUGUUAUUUUACCUACGCUUAGGAUGUUGAGUCAUCACACAUCUCU
rnacentral:rRNA from 1 species